rnacentral:lncRNA from 1 species
CGUAUAUCCCUGUUCUAUGUGUUUGGACUUUUGAUGAGACCUUAGCUCCUUAGUAAGGACAAUGGGCCAUUAUCUUUACAGUAUGGUGUUAUGACAUUCGAUGUCACAUCGAGUUUUGCAACUAUCACAAUAACCAGAAUGCAUCAUGCACAUUUCCAGCAUAUUCAGCUUCUAUUGAUCAGUUGCUUGGAAUUUUUCCAACAUACCAAUUCAACAUAACUCAAGAAUAUAUACGGAUAUAGAUAUUCUUCCAUCAAUGUAUCCUUCCACUCUUAGGUCUAACCUUUCUCCAA